CUCGUACCUAACUACCAGCCAUCUUGGCUUUGAUACACCCAACGCGUGAUCCGCCUGCGUUAUAAGGCGAUAUACUACGCAUAAAAAUAGUGAUGCAAUACAUAGAGGAGUUAAAAUGGAUUUCAAGUCUGAUCUAGAAUAUGCGACGAGCAAGCUGAAGAUAGAGUUUAGUUUUAGCGACUACCAAUUGAAAGCCCUAAAGAGUCUUUAUGAUUUGAAAGAUACGAUCGCAGUUCUUCUAACUGGCUCAGGAAAAAGCAUUAUUUUUCAGGGGUUCAGAUUUCUGCAAAGCGUUUAACAGACUUGGAGACCUGACAUGUUUGUUUCCCAAAAUACCUCACUUGGCACUUACAGCGACAGCAACACCAAAUGCUAUAGAAAACCUUAUUGAAAGCCUCCAAUUCAAGAACACGACAAAAGUAUUAGCCAACCCUGACUGCCCUAAUAUUUUUUGGGGAAAAAUAAGAAAG